CAGCAGGACUCGGGGAUGCUCCUAUGUCAGCUCUGCACGGCCACAGCACAAGGCACUGAGACGUACAUCACCACCACCCCAUGCCUCCUCCAUUGCUGAAAUAACCUCACCCGGUUAAUUUGAGAUAUACACAUAAUGGCCUCAAGAGCAUCCUAGAAGGUCUUAAAUAUCGCCUGAGGAACUGAUUACCUAAAAGGGAAGAUCAUUUCUGGCUGCUUUGAGAGCAGAAGGACCAGAAACAAAGAGAAUUUCAGGAAAAGGGCCACUCUAAGAACUCGGCAGCUUUGAGAAUAGCAACUGUUACCUCUGGAUGGGCAGUACUUAAGUCAGAUCUUCUUAUUCAGUACUGCCACCAGUCACACCUGACUACCAAAAUGUUCUCUACCUACCCUCCCCAUCUCUGCCAAUAUGAUGCUUUUAAGUUAUCUCUUUCAAGGCUAGAAAUGAAUUGCCAGCUAAGAGAAAAUCUGUUAGGUAUAACAAAUAACAUGAUUUAAGUACAGUACACGCUGAGGAUGCAGUUAUAAAAGAGAAGUUAUGCCAGAUCUUCAGCUUUUAUUAAUCAUAUCAACUCCAAUGAAACAGAGAGAGUAAUUCCAGGUUGCAUCUUCGGAGGAUCGCGCUCCUAUAUGUGCCAUCACCACUGUUGAACACGGAACAUUUCUUUGGUGCAUGAGUAACUGAAAGCUCUGGAAACAGGAGUAUAUUUGGUUUCAAGAUCCACAGGCCUUCAAGGGACUUGCUGAGGAAGGCAGAUUCUGCAGCACACUGAAUAUAUUCAGUGCUGACAGACUCAAGGGAAUACUCACUCAGAAAUCUUGCAAGUGAGGAAGAUAGGUGAUAAAACCACACCAAAGCUGAUUGUGGUGCUCGCAGCUGCAACUUCGCUGACUUGAGAAAACUUGGAGUUCAGAGCAGCAGUGGCACUGCCCUGUGGGUGGUGGAAGUCCAAACGUAAGCAAAAAAUUUUAAAAGGCUGUAAAUUUAUCACAAGAAGUAACAAAAGAAUAGUUGCAUUUCAGUAAACACACAUAGAAUAUUGAAUCUGUCUGUGAAAUAAGAUGGUUUCAAAUACAGUUUGGAUCACAGAGGAUUCAUGAAGAUUCCCCUUGCAUGUUUUCCUUGCUGAAGGUCUAGUUCACGAACUUCCAUAAACAAGGCAGUGAUGGUGGGACAUUUCAGUAGAACUUCUUGACUAUAGUUAUAUAAAUACAAAACAAAUUAAAAAAAUUAAAAGUGCUCAUAUUUGCUUGUAUAAAAAACUACAUCUUUUGUUUUCAUAAUUAUGUGUACUCUUUCAAUUUGCUUAGUUUAUU
ensembl:lncRNA